GAUGAACGCUAGCUACAGGCUUAACACAUGCAAGUCGAGGGGCAGCAUGAAGUUUGCUUGCAAACUUUGAUGGCGACCGGCGCACGGGUGAGUAACGCGUAUCCAACCUGCCCCGUACUCGGGUAUAGCCCAGCGAAAGCUGGAUUAAUCCCCGAUGUCACCUUUAUGGUGCAUUCCAUGUUGGCUAAAUUUAUUCGGUACGGGAUGGGGAUGCAUCUGAUUAGGUAGUAGGCGGGGUAACGGCCCACCUAGCCGACCAUCAGGAGGGGUUCUGAGAGGAAGGUCCCCCACACUGGAACUGAGACACGGUCCAGACUCCUACGGGAGGCAGCAGUGAGGAAUAUUGGUCAAUGGGCGAGAGCCUGAACCAGCCAAGUAGCGUGCAGGAUGACGGCCCUACGGGUUGUAAACUGCUUUUAUGCGGGAAUAAAGAUAUCUACGUGUAGAUAGUUGCAUGUACCGCAUGAAUAAGGACCGGCUAAUUCCGUGCCAGCAGCCGCAGUAAUAC
rnacentral:rRNA from 1 species